rnacentral:rRNA from 1 species
CCGUAUUCCCUUCGUCCAGGCUACACACGUGCUACAAUGGCGCGCACAGAGGGCUGCAAACCCGCGAGGGGGAGCCAAUCUCACMAAACGCGUCGUAGUCCGGAUCGCAGUCUGCAACUCGACUGCGUGAAGUCGGAAUCGCUAGUAAUCGUGAAUCAUAAUGUCACGGUGAAUACGUUCCCGGGCCUUGUACACACCGCCCGUCACACCAUGGGAGUGGAUUGCACCAGAAGUGGUUAGUCUAACCUUCGGGAGGACGAUCACCACGGUGUGGUUCAUGACUGGGGUGAAGUCGUAACAAGGUAGCCGUAGGGGAACCUGCGGUUGGAUCACCUCCACAGG